CCUACGGGUGGCAGCAGUGGGGAAUAUUGCGCAAUGGGCGAAAGCCUGACGCAGCGACGCCGCGUGAGGGAUGAAGGUCUUCGGAUCGUAAACCUCUGUCAGCAGGGAAGAACGGUCACUGUGCUAAUCAGCAGUGAAUUGACGGUACCUGCAAAGGAAGCACCGGCUAACUCCGUGCCAGCAGCCGCGGUAAUACGGAGGGUGCGAGCGUUAAUCGGAAUUACUGGGCGUAAAGCGCUCGUAGGCGGUAUGUCAAGUCAAGGGUGAAAUCCCCGCGCUCAACGUGGGAACUGCCUGUGAAACUGGCAAACUGGAGUGUGGGAGAGGAUAGUGGAAUUCCAGGUGUAGGAGUGAAAUGCGUAGAGAUCUGGAGGAACAUCAGUGGCGAAGGCGACUAUCUGGCACAUAACUGACGCUGAGGAGCGAAAGCGUGGGUAGCAAACAGGAUUAGAUACCCGUGUAGUC
rnacentral:rRNA from 1 species